rnacentral:rRNA from 1 species
GUAGUUAGCCGGGGCUUCCUCACAAGGUACCGUCACUUCUUCGUCCCUUGCGACAGAGGUUUACAACCCGAAAGCCUUCUUCCCUCACGCGGCGUUGCUGGGUCAGGGUUUCCCCCAUUGCCCAAUAUUCCCCACUGCUGCCUCCCGUAGGAGUCUGGACCGUGUCUCAGUUCCAGUGUGGCCGAUCAGCCUCUCAGCUCGGCUACCCAUCGUUGGCAUGGUGGGCCGUUACCUCACCAUCUACCUAAUGGGACGCGAGCCCCUCCCUCAGCGGAUUGCUCCUUUGACCUCUCCUUGAUGCCAAGGCGUGGUCUUAUGCGGUAUUAGCACUUGUUUCCAGGUGUUAUCCCCCUCUGAAGGUCAGGUUGCUCACGCGUUACUCACCCGUUCGCCACUAAACUAUAUGCAGAUUGCUCCUUACAUAGCUCCGUUCGACUUGCAUGUGUUAGGCACGCCGCCAGCGUUCGUCCUGAGCCAGAAUCAAACUCUGA